rnacentral:lncRNA from 1 species
CAGAGGGCACCCAAAUGAACAAUGGCAUCAAGAGCCAGAUAGCUGCAAAGUUUAAUUGCUCAGUGCUGUGUAAGCCCCCAGAAACACAGACACAACAUCAGAAGAGAUCAAUGUUCUACCACAUUGGUACCAAUGGGUCUUAAACUAGAAAUUAAGUGGAAUCAGAACAAAGUCAAGGUUUAUCACCGGCACACCUGAGUCAUGUUUGAAGGGGCACUCAGGCUACCCACAGGCUUUGUGCUCAGCCUCACGGCACUGUCCAGCAUAAGGUACAUGUUUAGCAAUGGUUUUUGAACUGUGGUUACUAAACUCGGGUUUUUUAAUCUAUCUGCAUUUCAAAGUGCUUGGUUUGGAUUUGGGGGUAAAAAAUGUGGUCCUUGAUAUGCCAGUGCAUUAAGGUCAAGCCUUCCCUGAAGAACAUUCACAUUUUUUUCUACAUAGAAGUGGAAUCUAGCUUGUUGGUUGUCUGAGAGACAAAAUGUAUUGCUUUGUACCAUUUAAAUGUUAAGAGGGUUUUCAUGUUUUUCUGCAAAAAGCCUAUUUACCCUGCACUGAGUUUCCCCGGCCUCACAGUAUCACAGGUUAGGGAGUUCCCUUUCAUUAAAUGGUUCUUUAGACCAUGAAAUUUUCUUGUUUUGCUUUCUACCAAAUUCCAAAUUAAUUCCAGUCCAAGGUUUAAUAGAUCAGAUCCAUGAGGUCAUUGUAACUUCAUAUUUUAUAUUAAGCAUGACUACUAUUAAUUGAGGGCCAGCUUUGUGAUAUGCAUGCUCUAUACAUUGUCUCUAAUCCUCCUAGAUCUCCCAAGGUAAGUAGCAUUUUUCCUAACAACAGAACUGAGGCUAAGUGAAAUCACAUAGGAAAGCUAGAACCUGAACAUAAGUCUCCAUGGUCUCAAAGCCUGAACUCACCACUACAGCAUAUAGCAAUUGUACCCUCAUUAUCUGAGGUUUCAAUUUUGCAAUGUCCAUAUUUUGAGUUUUACAUCAUUUUCCUGCUCCUAAUUGCCCAGAGUCAUAGUGGACUGCGUACAAGCUUCAUUUCUCCCUCCAAGGUUUUGCAGAGAAAAAUUCUAUUGUUUGGCCCAGGAGCCCCAGGUAUCAUUUAGGGUGUGGGAACAAAGUGAAAUAGGUACUUCCUUUACAAUGAUGCCAGGCACCUCUCCUCCUUCCAGGUACAACACAUCUCUGUGUCUUAGAUCUUAGCUGCACCUGGGACAAAGGCUGUUCUCUGCAGAAAGAAGCUAAGAGAUCAGAGUAGUUGAAGGUAUUGCAGGUGUGCCCACUCCAACACUGGGGCAUGCCCAGCUCCUUUGGAAAACUCAUGUGAAUAAGAGCCUCAGCAAUUCAGGAAAGUGAAGCAUGCUGAAAAGCAAGGGUCAAAGUAAAAAAGCUCUGCAGCGCCCAAGCCUGAUGAAUUUACGACAAGCUUCCAAAAAAGGCAAUUGCGGCUUGCGGAGGGUCUAGAGGCUCAGUUGCCCGAGGCUGUCUUGAGGAGCUGCCUUUGGGACUCCGCGAAACCUCGAAGUCUUGGGCUGCGCCUCCCCUUGCGCGGUCGGAGCCUUGGCAGAGCCUGCGGCGCCACCUCGUGGGCGAGGCCGCCUGGUGCAAGGUCAUCCGGUGCCGGGACCCGCUCCUCGCCCCGCCAGGACCCCCGCUCACCUCCAAGCUGGACGCCCGCGGAGCCCUGAUCCCCUAACGCCCGCUUCCGAGGCCGAGCUCUGCAGCCCCCUGCAACCAUCAGAUCCAGAUUGCCUUCCUGCACGAGCGCGCAACUCUCAGCCUCGGAGCGUGCUGGAAAUGCUGAUGGGAACCGUUUGAAUGACCGGGCACGGGUCUGCAAGAAACUCAGCUCCCAGGCCAGCCGUGGCUCAGGAAGCCUCCCACGUCGGGUAGAAUCCCAGGAAUCCACCCUUGCCCCCAUCCUCCCUUAACUUCCCCAAGCCUCAGUUCCUUCAUCUGCAAAAUCGAAAUGGUGAUAAUUCCAACACCAAUAGGGGUGUGACCAUCUGCACCAAGCACUCAGAGCCUGGCAUAGAAAGUGCAGCUCUUCUUAUUAAUUAGGCCUGAAACUCCUCUGCAUAAUAGUAAUGUAAUAAUAGUAAUGUAAUAACAAUAAUAACAAAUAGUAGUCUUCACUGUCAUCAUAGUAAAUGGUAGCAGGUACAUGGGCUAUGCACUUAUUAUCUCCCAAGCACUAAGACUCUUCCGUGUAUGGAAUGUUUUUUGUUUGUUUUGUUUUUUUGAGACGGAGUCUUGCCCUGUCACCCAGGCUGGAGUGCAGUGGCACAAUCUCAGCUCACUGCAACUUCCGGCUUCCAGGUUCAAGCAGUCCUCCUGCCUCAGCCUCCCCAAUAGGUGGGAUUACAGGCAUGCACCACCGCUCCUGGCUAAUUUUUGUAUUUGUAAUAGAGAUGGAGUUUCACCAUGUUAGCCAGGCUGGUCUCAAACUCCUGACCUCAAGUGAUCCGCCUGCCUCCCAAAGUGCUAGGAUUACAGGCGUGAGCCACCGUGCCCGGCUGGAACGUUUUUAAAUGUCAAGCAUUCCCAUAAAUUCAAGAACAGUGUUACCUCCAUUUCACUGAUAAGAAAAUAAACUCAGAGAUAUUAAGUAAUUAAUCCAAGGUCAACUAGCAAGCAAGCAGGAGGACCAGAACUCAAAUGCCAGGUUUUCUUCUUGGAUACAUAUUGGCAGACCAAAUCUCUCCCCACUUCCUGCCAUUUUUCUUGGUUAUCUAUUAAAAAGGAGAAACUAAACUAAUCAAGUGGCUUUGUUUCUUCUCCACCUGUCCCACCACUCCCGCCAACACCCUUCCAUGACGUUCCUCAUUGCCACGCUGGCAGGGUGGCCCUGGGUAUUUGUCCCCAUCUUAUAGAGAGAACAUGGAGAAGCUGAGUGGGGCUAAGGAGUUCAGAUCACUCACUUGCCACACCCAGAAAUCAGUAAGUUGUUGGGGAGUGGUGGGGGUCGAGCUGGAAUCCAGAGCUCCAAGCCAUCUCUCUCCCCAACACAGACCUGGGUCACAACCCUUGUGAUCAAACCUGAUGCUUUCCAAGGUAUUGCCCUUUGCAACCUUGUGAGGCUGACUGAGGGAGGUUGCUGAGCAAUGCUUCCAAAUUGCUGAAGGAUAAAUGGGAGACAGGGCAUACACACACACACACAUGCACACACACACAGAUAUACACCACUCCCUGGUCAUCUGAGAAUCAACAUCACCUUACAAUGUCCCUGUGUCUGAGCAUUGGCCCACAGUGUUGAGGAGCUGACUAGGAUGUGAUUUUAGAGAAGAUUGGAGCCCUGGGUUCUCACCUGUUAGCUGCCUCCUGACACGUCCGCUGAUGUCUCACACCAACCCUGGAAUACAACUUGUCCAAAGGGACAAUCUUGAUUUACUUCCAUAUGGCAGCAAUUCCCAUAAAUGCCUGACCAUCCAGCUGGGUGCUCGGACGUGAAGUCUCUAGGGCCUCCGUGGGUCCUCCUUUCCUCGUCCCACCUCCAGGCCAUCAACAUUGUCACCACUAGAGCCCAAGUCACAUCCUCUCUCACCCAGAAUUCUGCACAACCCUCUCAAUGGGUCUCCCAUUUCCUGUGUUGCCUCCUCCAACUCAUUCUCUACCCAGCAAGCGUCAUUGGAUUGUGUCAUUCCCCUGAUUAAAACCCCUCAACAGUUACCCCCUGCAGCUAGGCUGAAAUCCACAUGGCCAUGAGGCCCUGCAGAUCAGGCUUCUGGCAGUUUUUCCAAGCUGUCUCAUGCUUCUUGCAUCAUUGCCACGCUGGUCUUCCCAGAGUGCUGCCCCCACCUCCCAAUACGCCAAGUUCUCUUCUUCCUUUGGAAAUGCGCCAUGCCAUCCCCAUUCUUGGCAGCCUCUUCCCACUGCAACCCCUGUGCGCUCCUUCUCCCGCUGCACACAGCAAGUGCAUCCUUCUGGAUGAGGCCUUUCUGAUCACCCAAUGCCACCACAAUUCAUGAUGCUUUCCUCACUUGGCUGUUAGUUUGUUGUGCAUCACCCACACCCAACUCUAAGCUCCAUAAGAGCAAGGGCCAAGCUGUCCACCCCAUCACCCAGCGCCUGGCAUAGCGCUGGGCAAAUUAACAGACUCUAUAAAUACUUGAGGAGCGAACUAAUGAUACAACAGCUACAAGCCCUUAUAGGAGA